UACGUAGGGCGCAAGCGUUGUCCGGAAUUAUUGGGCGUAAAGAGCUCGUAGGCGGCUUGUCGCGUCUGCCGUGGAAGCCCGUGGCUUAACUACGGGUCUGCGGUGGAUACGGGCAGGCUAGAGGCUGGUAGGGGCAAGCGGAAUUCCUGGUGUAGCGGUGAAAUGCGCAGAUAUCAGGAGGAACACCGGUGGCGAAGGCGGGUCUCUGGGCCAAUUGACGCUGAGGAGCGAAAGCGUGGGGAGCAAACAGG
rnacentral:rRNA from 1 species